GAUGAAGAACGUAGCGAAACGCGAUAAGUAAUGUGAAUUGCAGAAUUCAGUGAAUCAUCGAAUCUUUGAACGCACAUUGCGCCCGCCAGUAUUCUGGCGGGCAUGCCUGUCCGAGCGUCAUUUCAACCCUCGAACCCCUCCGGGGGGUCGGCGUUGGGGAUCGGCCCUUUACCGGCCGGCCCCGAAAUACAGUGGCGGUCUCGCCGCAGCCUCUCCUGCGCAGUAGUUUGCACACUCGCACCGGGAGCGCGGCGCAGUCCAAUGCCGUAAAACACCCAACUUUCUGAAAUGUUGACCUCGGAUCAGGUAGGAAUACCCGCUGAACUUAAGCAUAUCAAUAAGCGGAGGA
rnacentral:misc_RNA from 1 species